GUCCACGGGGCCACAAAGAGUCAGACAUGACUGAGCAACUGAACUGAACUGAACAGUUCCCCUAAACUAUUUGAGCAGAAGUCAAAUGGCAAACUGACAACAAUGCAAUCUAUUUUAUAGUACUUCAAUCACAGACAAGCAUAUGCUUACCUGAAUCAGUAUCAAUACUAUGGAAUUUGUUUUAUUUGAUAUAAACAUUAAAGUUCUGAAAGUAAAUGUGCUAAAUCAUGGUUUUUAAAUUAAAGACUUUUACUUACAAUUUCAGAACUUAUACAAUAUAUUUUUAUUAAAGUAGAACAUAUGCACAUAUAUUUAAAUUAAGUAUAACUUAGCUGUCUUAAAUAUCUGCAACAGAGGUUGAAACAGAGAAGGAGUAACAUUUGUUCAACACUCCAUACCUAUUAAUGUAAACUGGCUCAAAUCCUUCUCAGAAGUAGACAGGUUAUAAAUAAUAAAAGAACUCAUGCACAAGUCAUUCAAGACACUACGAAUGACACUCAAACACAUCUUUUUAUUAUAUACUAAAUUAAAAAUACAAAUCUUAUUAAAAAUGCUUAUGAAACAUUGUAUACAUAAGUACUGUCAAAUACUAUCAGAUUAUGACAUUAUGUACAUUUGCUAAGGUUAAUUAGAAACAGAACAACAUUCAUAACUUUGCUGAUAACGAGUUUCAGAAGUCAAAUAUUUUAAUUAACAUUUGGCAACUCUGAAGUAGUGAUCUGCACAGGAAGAUGUCUGCAGAGGUAAAACGGUGAGAAAACAAACGGAAAAAUGCAGAUAUUCCUGCCCUAAGUGUUAAUAAGUAGAUCUCUUCUUCAUCCUCUUAAGUCUCAAAAUAACAGAAAUUAAAGUGCAUAAGACCACAAGGAAUACCUGAUUUGGUUGUACCCUAAUACAUACUAUUGCCAAUUGUGCUGCCAUACUGAGGGCUUUGAUCUCUGUACUGUUCCUGAGGUUUUAGAAGUUAAUUUUGAAUGUGACUAGGGGAAAAGAGGCCAAUACUUUCUAAAUUGCACAAAGUGGCCUUAAAGUGUAGAAACACCAAAGAUAAAAAUAUUAAUUUGGGAAUAGAUUCAAGGAGAUCAUCCCUGUCUAUUUUGCCCUAGAAAUAAAAUUAGGAUAUGAACCUAGUUUUACCUCUGGAAAAUGCUUACUAAAAAUCUGUUUCAAAAGAUCAGACAUGUACAGCAAGUACCACAAUACUGUCAGUUACUGUCCACCCACUUACAUACUGUAUCAUAAAUACCAGGCAUCAAUACCUGCCCUCCAAAGAUUCACAAGAAACACAGGAAGAAGCAUGUU
rnacentral:lncRNA from 1 species